CAGCCGCCACGGUAAUACGAAGGGGGCUAGCGUUGCUCGGAAUUACUGGGCGUAAAGCGUGCGUAGGUGGUGGUUUAAGUCCGUUGUGAAAGCCCUGGGCUCAACCUGGGAAUUGCAGUGGAUACUGGGUCACUAGAGUGUGGUAGAGGAUAGUGGAAUUUCCGGUGUAGCAGUGAAAUGCGUAGAGAUCGGAAGGAACAUCUGUGGCGAAGGCGACUAUCUGGGCCAACACUGACACUGAGGCACGAAAGCGUGGGGAGCAAACAGGAUUAGAUACCCCCGUAGUCCCUGUCUCUUAUAC
rnacentral:rRNA from 1 species